CUCCUCGUAGUGUAAUGGAUAACACGUAAGAUUCCGGUUCUUAUAAUAGAGGUUCGAUUCCUCUCGAGGGGGCUA
rnacentral:tRNA from 1 species